GGCAUGCUGUUGGAGGGGCACUUGCAGGCCUAUAAAGCCUACAAUCCAGUAAUGGUUUAAUUUACAACAGGACAGGUGUCGUUUUUUAGAGGAGAUUUACCAGUUUUAUUGCUGUGAAGCAAAAUAAAAAAUGUGACACUCCUAGAAAAGGGGGAAUUAGAAAAGAAAAGAAGAAAUUUAGGGAUUUGGGCCAAAUAGGGUCUGUUCCUCCUAGAAAGGUAAUUGUAAAAAGUAUGGGGGUUCAUUAAAACUCACAUUAUAGAAAGUAAUUUAUCCACAUUUUUUCUUUAUCUCUUUGAUCGU